AGUGAACGCUGGCGGUAGGCCUAACACAUGCAAGUCGAACGGCAGCACAGUAAAAGCUUGCUCUUACGGGUGGCGAGUGGCGGACGGGUGAGGAAUACAUCGGAAUCUACUUUUUCGUGGGGGAUAACGUAGGGAAACUUACGCUAAUACCGCAUACGACCUACGGGUGAAAGCAGGGGAUCUUCGGACCUUGCGUGAUUGAAUGAGCCGAUGUCGGAUUAGCUAGUUGGCGGGGUAAAGGCCCACCAAGGCGACGAUCCGUAGCUGGUCUGAGAGGAUGAUCAGCCACACUGGAACUGAGACACGGUCCAGACUCCUACGGGAGGCAGCAGUGGGGAAUAUUGGACAAUGGGCGCAAGCCUGAUCCAGCCAUACCGCGUGGGUGAAGAAGGCCUUCGGGUUGUAAAGCCCUUUUGUUGGGAAAGAAAAGCAGCAGGUUAAUACCCCGCUGUUCUGACGGUACCCAAAGAAUAAGCACCGGCUAACUUCGUG
rnacentral:rRNA from 1 species